rnacentral:rRNA from 1 species
AUUGAACGCUGGCGGCAGGCCUAACACAUGCAAGUCGAACGAGUGGCGGACGGGUGAGUAAUGUCUGGGAAACUGCCUGAUGGAGGGGGAUAACUACUGGAAACGGUAGCUAAUACCGCAUACCGGCAGAUGUGCCCAGAUGGGAUUAGCUGGUUGGUGGGGUAACGGCUCACCAAGGCGACGAUGCCGAGCUGGUCUGAGAGGAGGACCAGCCACACUGGAACUGAGACACGGCCCAGACUCCUACGGGAGGCAGCAGUGGGGAAUAUUGCACAAUGGGCGCAAGCCUGAUGCAGCCAUGCCGCGUGUAUGAAGAAGGCCUUAGGGUUGUAAAGUACUUUCAGCGGGGAGGCGUUACCCGCAGAAGAAGCACCGGCUAACUCCGUGCCAGCAGCCGCGGUAAUUC